GUUUUCAUGUAUAUUAUUUAUGAAAUUUAACCUGCCCACUGAUUUAUAUUUAAAGGGCCGCGGUAUAUUGACCGUGCAAAGGUAGCAUAAUCAUUAGUCUUUUAAUUGAAGGCUUGUAUGAAUGGUUGAACAAAAAAUAAUCUGUCUUUAACAUAAUUUAUUGAAUUUAACUUUUAAGUAAAAAGGCUUAAAUAUAUUAAAGUGACGAUAAGACCCUAUAAAACUUAAUAAUUUAAAUUUAAAGAGUAUAUUGGUUGUAUAAAAUUUUUUUGAUGUAUAUUAUUUUAUUGGGGCGAUAAAAAUAUAAAAAGUAGCUGUUUUGUUGUUUAAAUGAUUAUUAUUAGAGAUUAAUUUGUUCCUUUAUUAAAGGUUAUAAGAUUAAGUUACUUUAGGGAUAACAGCGUAAUUUUCUUUAAGAGUUCUUAUCUACAAGAAAGAUUGCGACCUCGAUGUUGAAUUAAAAAUUCUUUAAGGUGUAGCAGUUUUAAUGGAAGGUCUGUUCGACCUUUAAUUUUUU
rnacentral:rRNA from 1 species